rnacentral:rRNA from 1 species
GACGAACGCUGGCGGCGUGCUUAACACAUGCAAGUCGAACGCUGAAGCACCAGCUUGCUGGUGUGGAUGAGUGGCGAACGGGUGAGUAAUACGUGAGUAACCUGCCCUUGACUCUGGGAUAAGCCCGGGAAACUGGGUCUAAUACUGGAUGCUACAUGUCACCGCAUGGUGGUGUGUGGAAAGGGUUUACUGGUCUUGGAUGGGCUCACGGCCUAUCAGCUUGUUGGUGAGGUAAUGGCUCACCAAGGCGACGACGGGUAGCCGGCCUGAGGGGGGGACCGGCCACACUGGGACUGAGGAACGGCCCAGACUCCUACGGGAGGCAGCAGUGGGGAAUAUUGCACAAUGGGCGAAAGCCUGAUGCAGCGACGCCGCGUGAGGGAUGACGGCCUUCGGGUUGUAAACCUCUUUCAGCAGGGAAGAAGCCACAAGUGACGGUACCUGCAGAAGAAGCGCCGGCUAACUACGUGCCAGCAGCCGCCGUAA